GACGUAGGGUGCGAGCGUUGUCCGGAUUUAUUGGGCGUAAAGAGCUCGUAGGCGGAUUUGUCAGUCAGGGGUGAAAUCCCGGGGCUCAACCUCGGAACUGCCUUUGAUACAGCAAGUCUUGAGUUCGAGAGAGGUGGGUGGAAUUCCUAGUGUAGAGGUGAAAUUCGUAGAUAUUAGGAAGAACACCGGUGGCGAAGGCGGCCCACUGGCUCGAUACUGACGCUGAGGUGCGAAAGCGUGGGAGCAACAGGG
rnacentral:rRNA from 1 species